rnacentral:piRNA from 1 species
CCCUUUUUCAUUUUGAAGGACUGCUGGA